ensembl:lncRNA
UUUAAUACUAAUUGUCAAGAGCUAUGGAGACUACAUAUGGUAGCAACCAAUCCUUUGAGAUGUAAGAACGGUUUACCUAUCGUGUUCUAGCUAGCUACAGAAUGGCUUCACUCCCUCUCCUCAAUCAGAUGUUCAAAUGAAAGCACAUGCAAGAAAAAAGAAAAGCAAACAGAAAAAAAACAAGUGUGGACAGGCCCUUCUGUAGACCAAAUGCUCACAAAGUUAGUCCACAUACUUUGCAACUUAUGUAAUCUUAGUUGGAUAGUUCACCUGUGGGGACUUCUAUUCAAAGAGUGGUAUAAUAAGGUACUGUCACUUCUGUAAUGCAUCUUUUGAAAUGUGUUGUCAAAUGAAUAAUUGUUUGGCAAACCUCCUGAAAAGAUAAUAUGCUCAAAAAUGUCACUUUUUUUCCCCACAGAGUUUGAUAAAACCCUUGAUGUUUGCCUUUAUUGAUUCAAUUUAGUCAAACUUUGCACACACCCCUUUUCAUUGAUUAAGUUUUCAAUAGAGAAUGUUACAGCUGGUAAUCAAUGGUUGUAAUUUAGAAAUUAUUUAUACUUCAGGUGUUUAACUUGAAGCAUUGUUGCCAUCUGUACUGUCACUGGGUAUGGUAUGGUAAAGCAUAUACACUUUAUUGUGUAUAAUAUUGUCAGAAGAAAAUUCAAAGAAACUUUGGUUGUUUGGUAAGUGGGAGGAGGCUGUUGGGGCCCUGAGGGCACUAAUGGGCUUCAGCUGCUGUGAGCAGCCUCACCUGUGCAGCCCUGCCCAUGGCACAGGUGCAUCAAUUAAGCUCGGAGCUUUGCCAGGGCUCUGCUAUUCUAUACCUUUCUCCACCCAUCUCCCCAGCUGAUUGGUUGAAUGGCUUUGCAUUUCUUGGGUCAGUCAGAGGUCUGGAUCAUUCCUUUGAUGCAUCUGUUGAGCACUGGAUUGCUGGUGGUCCUGCUGUGUUACCUCCACUCAGAGGCAAGAGAUGCACACAGCUUCACUUCUGGUAUCCUUGCUUGCUCAUCUGGCCAUUGUCAAGGCAGCUGUCAUCCGGGAGCCCUGGAGCUGCAAUGCAGAAGUAAGUAUCACUACCUUCAAUUUUACAGAUCAGAAAACUGAAACAGAAAUGUAAAAUGAAUCACUUCAGAUCUACUUUUCUUGUGGUGCCAUCAUUUAUAAUGUUCAGCUCUGAUCCGCACAAGUUUAUCUAUUUGACCCUAGUGCUUUUCUGCCCUUUUGGGGGGCAUUUCUUUGAUCAUUGUCAGCGUAUAUCCUCUGACAGAGCCCUGUUAGAUUUGCACAGUGGGGAGAUAAAACAAUGAGUGUGUAAGUACAGACAUGUAGCUCAUCACAAUGACAUGGCAGUAAUGCACUGAGUUCAGCUCACCCUGGAAGAUGGUCUGAUCCUUGAUAGAUUUAUCACAGCCAAAGACGUGAUUACCAAUCCCACUGCAGAUUUCUUCUAAGUUACUACUUUUCUUAAAGGCACAACGUGUCCCAAUACUUUCUGUUAGAAUUGUGAAUACUUUUGUUUCUUCUUGAAGACCCAAUGGAUUUUUUUCCAUAAACAUUUCUGAAGCCCUUUGAUUCUGGGAGGCCAUUCCAGCACAUAUAAUUUUCUCAAAAUCUUAAUCACUUUACAAAAGCAGUUUUUCUACAUCUCUGUGCCCAGAGACACUGCUGAUGCCCCAUCCCUGCAGGAGGGUUGGAACUAGGUGAUCUUCAAGCUCUCUUCCAACCCAAGCCAUUCUGUGUUUCUGCGAUAUUGUGCAGUUGCAAAUAUUCCUGUUGAACGCUUAAUUCUCUGUAGUAUUCCAACUUAGAUUUCAUCAAAGCGAGUAGAAAAAUUGAAGUUAAGUUCCUGUUACACAUAAAAGUGAAGAACAUAAGGGUUUUAAAAAAGAACAUAUGGAUACAAAUGUACAUAUUUAAACAAACAUGUUCCAAUCAGCUCAGAUUUUUCUGUUCUUUCUCCUGUGAUCAAAAUGUGAUAAGACACGGUGGAUACUGAAGUCCCUACAGGGCCAGAUCUGAGUCUUGCAAAAGAUGUUAGGAAAAUUUCCAGUGAUUUUUCUGAGUCUCAGACCAGAUCUUUGUUGUUGCGAAAACAUCAGUGAACAACAAUUCAUCUGUGUGCAAAACUCCUGUAUGUAGUUCCAGAUGCCAAAAAUUCUCUAUGCAAUUUCAAUUCUAUUUUGAAUGUAUACUUCUUCCGCUAAAUGACUUAUUAUAACCUAUGCAAAAUAACCUUAACAAAAUACAAGAAAUGUACAGCCAGGACAGUGAAUCUGUAGAGGUGAGAACAUGAACAGAGAAUUUGCCAUGGAAAUGAACAUUGAUUUUUAUGCUUUCUAUUUUUUUUCUGAUGCAGUUCUCAGAGAAUAAAUAGGAGACUCAGUUUUAAAGGGAACGGUGCUAGUCAGCUUAUACACCGCUUUCUGAGAUCCUUCUCUCAAUGUACAGGGAAAUAACUCAGUUACUAAGUACCUUAGUGUCUCCAGAGUUACAGCACCUAUGUGAGAUGAGAAUCUGUUCCUGCAGUAUGUCUUUAAUAUCAAACAUUCAGGCAAUUCAAGAUUUUAGCACUGGAAUAUCCAAAUCUCAUAAAGAUGAGUAAUGCUAUGAUUGCAGAUGUCUUCUGUGGUGUUCAUGUGCUGCUUGUUUGUGGAGAAGGAUCAUUUUUAUACCUUAAGAAAGAAUAGCCAUCUCCCUGAGGUACCUUCUAAUGAUGCCACAAGCGCAUUGCAAUACAUAGUUAAUGGCAGCUUUGUAUUGAUAAUGGACUUCUAUGAAUCAUGAGGAGCAUUAAAAAGAAAACACUUUCUUAUCUGUAUGUUCAGAUGCUUUCUAAUUGCUCACGUGUAUUUCAAAUAACUUUGCAAUUCCUUGUAUUGCAUUAUUCAGAUUUCCUAGUGUCUCACAGAAAAAUAAUUGAAACGCAACCAAAAGAUUUGCACACCAUUAUGGGGAAUACUUUGUUCUUCACAUUCUGUAUCUUGUUAAUAAAGGAUAAGAACGUGCACAUGUACAUUGCCCUCAAUUUUAUUUUCUACUUUCAAAUGUAGCUAUUUUUCAUCUGUAAUAGGUUGUAGAUGUACCAACUUCUCAAUAACAGUAGAACUGAGGGGAAAAACAUAGAGCAUUAAAACAACAAGAAAAAAUAUUGAGUAUUUUCUGGUGAAGCGGAUUGUGUUAGAAACUAUCAUUCAAAUUCCAGUGAGAGCUGAGGACUUCCCAGAUCUCACAUUCUCAACACAGACUGUAGGGCUCACUGUUUCCUGUACUGCACAGUCCUGGGGAUGUUCUACAGCUACUGACAGCUAUAUUUGAAGUGCUGGAAGAUUUAAAGGAAAAUACCUUUAUAAGAACACUUGUAUUGUUCAUCUUAAUAUUUAAGCUAAAAUGUCCCUUGUUUUCUUGUGGGGAAAAAGAACAUGAAUGGAAAGAAAAGAGCAUGUGAUAGGUGCCAUCUGUUCUCUCUUUCUCUCCCCCUUGCUCUCCCCUCUCCCAUAUUUUUCCUCUAAAAAAAAAAUAUAUAUAUAUAUAUAUAUUUAUAUAUAUAUAUAUAUAAAUUGAAAUUGGUAACUGUGGUUACCUGCCAGGCCUCUUUCAGGGAACAAAGUGAGACAGAAGGGUAGCAGGACUGUGGGUUGCCUGAGGGCCUAGGGAUGAAAUCUCACUUCUGUGCUAGAUGGUCACAACUCUUGGCUAUUCAGUCAUGAGACAGCAAAGGCUUUCAAGGAUCAACAACAAAUUUAUGGUAAAGCAAAAGCAAGAAAAGAUAUGAGGAGUUUCCUGCAAGAGGAUAUUUCCAACAUGAGCUUGUCCAUCCACUGCUGCUGGAAAAGACAAAUUUGCAAAAUUUCAGGCUCUCAAUAGGUCAUCCAGUCUUCCUCCUACAAACAGAAUAUCUGCUCUGGUCCUGACAGUUGUUUGUCUAGUCAGUACUCAAAGAUCACCAUUGAUGGAGAUCAUUCUGCCUCCAGGCAAUCUGUAUUCUAUAUCUCUUUUCCUGAGAGAUUUUUCUUUGUAUGUGUCUUGAAUAUUCUGUGUAGCUGCUACUUGACCUAUUCACUGAGGACAUGGAAAAUAUUUUUUCUUUUUUCAUAAGGAGUUUGCAAGUCAACACACCUGAUGGUUUUUUUUGUUGUUGUUUUUUUGUAUCUUGCAUUUUUCAAUGUGUGAUGUGUACCAGUAAGAGCAAUAAUGGGAAUUCAGAUCUGAAAACAGUGCCUGACUCUACUGUACCAUCAAUUGUCAGCUGUGGAUGCUAAAAGACCUAAAAGUUUGAAGUUCAGACUGGAGUUCAGAUGGUGUAUUUUGGCUGGGGUCCAGCAUUACUAGAAAUCCAUCUUGACGUAGAGAGAGCAGCCGUAACAAGCUGGGCUGAUGGGCUGCCAGCCAGGCUCUUCUAAAGUAGUGGAAGAAACCUGUUUCAUGAGUUGGGUAUAAACUAUUUAACAGAGCCAGAGACAAAAUGCAUCCCAACAUCAAUGUCCAGGAUUACCAGCUGCUCACACAGCUUGUCUGGGGGCAUCCAGAAUGCCAGGAAAUGCCUGGUAGCUGUCGUGUAUGUGUGUGUGUGUGUGUAUAUAUAUAUAUAUAUUCUGUGAGGCACAAAGAAAUUGCAUCAAGGACUUUCAAACUACAAAACAUCAGAAAAUGCUACGAAAUACUUUUGGAAGUCAAAAACACUUUGAGGAGUAAUCUCGGCCUCAUAGGACAGCAUCCAUGAUGCUGGACACUUGGUUCCCAUUCCAGUUUUUGCCACUCAAGUAUGGAUGCAAAAUACAGAGGCAUAUUGUCUGCUGUCAUAACUCAUCUGCGAAGCAGAUGUUUCUUUUGGGGGAAUUAUUCAUGCUAAAGAUCACACUUCAAAGUAAACAAUAAUUGUCAUUUGUUGCCUGUUAAAAAAAGAAAAAAAUGAAAGCUGGAAAUCAAACUAAUGAGUACAUUUCCUCAAGGGAACAGACAGAACUGGGAAUAUGAUCAUUUUGCAAAGCUUCUGAUAAAUACAUAGGUUGCUCUGAAAGAAAUGCUGCUUUAUUUCUGUGGCAACUACACUGGAUGCAAAGAACACGAUAACACUGAUAGAGCACAUUUUCAGCUACAAAACACUUUUUCAACAUAGUCACCACCAUUAGCUGUGUAUUUUUGCCAACUAUGAAGAGGACUCUGCGUGCUGUGCACAAAAAAUUCUGCACAAGCAGAUGCGACCCACUGUUUCACAGCUGUUACGGUGGCAUCACUGCUAGGAAAAUGUUGCCUACGCGGUCCGUCUGAACAGAUGGAAGUUGGAAGGCACCAAUUCCAACUGUAUGGUGGAUGUGGUGGGACAGUCCAGCCAAGAUUGACAAUGUGUUCCAUGGUCUUCAAACUGGUACAGGGCCUGGCGUUACUGGAUUGUGAGAGAAAUGUUGUCGUCUUCUCUGGCCUGACUCUAUUAGUUUGAGCCCCCAGCUCAGUGAGCAUUGUGAUGUAGCAGUCAGGAUCUGCACUCUACCUUAGCUUUGUGAACCCAGUUCUGGAUAUAAUGUCUCAAUUUACACAGGCCAGGAAGUCUGCAAAGAGAGUAAGCUACAGUAGAUUUUCUGAUGAGCCACUGCUUUACAGCCUCCUGGUUAAGACUUCAUUUCAGGAAGCUAAUAUGACUUUAUAAAAACCAAAAGUAGCUGCAUUUGAACUUACUAUAUGGUUUAUCCCACAGGACAGUUCUCAACUACCUUGAGUCAAGUACAGGUUGAAUGGUGGCCUCUAAGAGUUCAUGAAUAACAUGGGAAAUCAGACUUGUCAUAUGGUUCUGGGACUCAGACACUGUGUCUCUACUAAUAAGUUAAAUGGUGCCAAGGAACGUUCCCAGGAGCUGGACCCAGGCUGUCUGUCUGUGUAGCUGCACUGCCAGAGCGAUCCUUUUGCCAUAGAGAUGCAGACCUCUAUUUUGAUAUUUGAUAUUUUGGAUUUGCUGAAUGACCACAGCCAACAAAAUUAUUUCAUCAGCUAGUUUCUGACCUUUAAUAUCUGACCAUAUAUUUUAAAGUGUGAGAGAUACCUAUUUUACAUUUACUCCAGCUCCAUAAGGAAUGCUGUACGGACAGGAAUUCAGCAGAAAAUUUCCACUUAUUUACCAUUUACUGUCACUGAAAUUCAAGAAGUUAUUUCAAAAAAUGAGGAAAAAAUACUGUGAUUUCUACUAUUUGUUUCUUCUUGGAAGUUCCAUGGAUCAUUUAUCAAUGAACAAAAGGCUAAUUAAAAGGCUAGACCUAGUGCAAUUACUUUGAUGAACUUUGAGAGUGGUUGUUUAAUGCCAUAGCCUUCAUUAUGUUAUGCUAAAUAUGUUCUCUGCAAGUUUGCAUCCCAAAGAUGAUGCUGUUUUUGUUGGACUAGCUUGAGGAAAAAUGCUGUAUGUUUGAGCUCUUGGGAUGAGUGUCUUACUUGGAAGGUAGGAAGAAAAUGUUGAUGUUCUCUGGAUUUGUGUGUGUUAAAGCUGACAAUUCAAGACAUGUCUGUGGUAGUUUUAUUCCUUAGCUCCUAACAGAAACCUGUCUCCCUGAGCUGAUUCCAGAUUUAUAAGCACAGUGUGUACAUUGUUACAGCACAGAGCGCAGGAUAAUUAAACAGCUGCUUAGCACUGAGCUCCUUCAUUCUUCAAUAAGCAGAUGUUUUGUCUUGUUGCUGAUUUCAAACAACCCACGAUAACAUACUAUAUGCAUAGCAUUACUCAUAUUUUUAAUAUUUUGGUGCGUUCCUAUCCAAAGAUCAAAGCUCCAUGCCCCAUUACAUGAGGUUCUGCACAGGCCGUUAGCACAGAAGAGAUCUUAAGUGAGUGCCAAUCAGUGCGUCUCCACUGAAUCCAGGGGAGCAACAGCAGUUCGCGCUGGCUGACAUUUCCCUUGCAGAUGUCAGACGAGAUGCCAUGAUUUACAUACCAAUGGCGGUGAGUGGGAGGAUGAAGUAACAAGAGGAGCAGAAAUGUGCAGGGAUGCAGAAGUCGGAGCUUGCCAUUUGCCUUUCUCCUGCAGCUGAACAAUGGCAAUCUGAGUUAUUCAUUCCCAUCCACCUCUUAACAACAGGAUUCGCUUCUGAUGAUAUCUUGUGGCCUUUUGAGUAUGUUAGCAGAGGAACUAGAUUCUUUUCUGUAUUUGCCUUCUGUGUUAUCAGACACAAUAAGCAAUUCCCAAAAGGCAGAUGAGGUGAAUAAAGCAAAGUAUCAGGUUAAAUGAUGUAUAUUCCUUAUCCAUUUAGGAAGGUGUUUAUGCAUCGUCGUUUUAUGCUUUGUAUUUGCUGGAUUUAUGAGUGGCAUUUGUGUGCAGAGCCAUGAAAGCAGAUGGAGCCCCAAAGGAGGAGCCCUUCUAUCCCACCCUGUUUGUGGUCUCCCUGUCUGCUGCUGAAGCUGCUUCCUGGGGCAGUGCGUUCAGCAGCUGCUAAGAGCGUGUAAAUAGAAGGAGAAAUGUUAUAAAUGUCAGGAAGUGGCAGCCAGACUGUUCCAAGGUUGCGUACUGCGUGCUUGUGAAGCAAGAUGGCCUGACUCCAUUAUCAGUGUUGUCCAUCAAACGCUGAUUUCCAAAGGUCUGUAUCUUCCACUUACUGAUAUUUCCAUUUGUGUACUUCACUGGGAAGAGUUUCAGACAAUGUUGAUAAUUUUGGACUUCCUGAUCCUUAGGAGGAAUAAAUUUGCCCUGCUAGGGAACGCACUGUUCCUAUCCCUAACUGAGUUAUACGCAUUCGUACGUAAUCUCAGUAUAACUAUAAUGGGAAUACAAUUUAUACUUUAAUUUAUGCUUGUUCUCUGGUUGGGAAAAUGCCCAUGAACUGUGAGGAAGCAGAUCUGCUUGUUCUAUAGAUAAACUGUUGUUGUAUGUGGUUCACAUCCUGCAUUUUUAUGUAUCGUUCCAAUUCCUCAGCUGUUUCCAAUUCAUGUACCUUUCUGAAAGUGAAUGAAGCAGCUGUGCCAAAUUCAGAGCCUGGCUGAGUCCAGCUUCAUGUCUGGAGGAGCUGAAUUUCCCAAGGCUGGUGCUUCACCAUUAACUGAUGCAGAAGAAAUUAGAAUUCCUCUUUCCCUUUCACAUAAUGGCAGAAUUCUGAAAUUAUUGUGUAACAUGCCCUUCCUCCCAUUACACGGUCUUCAUUCUGUUCACCAUUAUUUUUAAUAGACCAAUUUUCUCUCUUGCUUUUCAUCCACCGAGUCUUUACUAUUAUUAUCAUCAAAGUGUCUGUGGGCUGCCAGCAUUUGAUAUUUCAUUUCACUGAUUUAAUUAUGUCUGCAGCCUGUUCUGGGGCUGUUUAUUUUUAUAGAUCUCCGAAUCCUCUUCUUUAUCAAAUUGUUUACAUCUGAAUCCAUUUGUUCACUGUUUAUAUGUCACUUUGCAAUUGUAUCCUUUUGUACUUUGCAUUUGUUCCUGAGGGGUGUUUUAGUUUGAUCAAAUUUUACAACUUUGCAGGCAGACAACUAAAAGGAGAUCUUCCUAUCUAGGGGUGAAAGGCAGCUCUGGACACAGCUAACACCAUCUGCUUUUUCACUUUAUGCUUCCUGUGGGCAUAUGUGAGCAUGGAGCCACGUCUGUUACCAGCUAUUGGGAACUGACAGCUCAUGGGAAGCUGGCAGAGUGUUAGAUUAAAGGAAGAGAUGUUUUACACACCUUGCUCUUCCAUGUGCAGUUUACAUAGGGUAUAAAUACAUAGGUAAUGUAGGGUAUAUGUAAACAGGGUGUUUACUGAGCUUAGUUUAGUUUCCAAAGAAUGGAGGUUCUUUGGCUCUGGGCAGCCUGGUCUAGAGGCUGGCAACCCUGCCUGUGGCAGGGGGGUUGAAUAUAGAUGAUCUUUGAGGUCUUUUUCAACUUUUCAACCCAGGCCAUUCUAUGAGUCUGUGACGCUUUACUGCAGAGGGUUGCAGAAGAGGAUGACAGCUUUGAAUUUUGCUGACUGACCUCCUGUCACUGCAACUACUUUAGUAGUGGUGAUGCACGUAUGCGUGCACGUGCUGUAGUUCUGUUGAGUUUCUUGCUUCUACUAUAAUUAAGAGUCCAUAAAUAAGUGCUUCUAAUGCACUUGACUAGAGAAAGUAAUUGCUAUUUAAAUGGAUAAUUUAUUGUGUGCUAAUUAAAAGCCCAAUAGGUGAGAACAUUUUAAUGAAAUGUAACUUAACUCAAUAAGGAGGUUUUUAAUAAUCAUUAGUUGCCUGAAAUAUACCUGAUGCAGCAGUUCUCUAAUGACAAGCUCUAAUUGAUGUUUUUAACAUGUAUUUAUUGUGGAUAAAUUGCUAUUUUGUUGUAUAUCUCUCUUUCCCUGUCUUUCAAAUGCACAGCUUCCCAGCUGGAGGCCCCAUUGUGCCUUAUUACAGUCUAUUCUUCCCUGCUUUGGCAACCCCUUUUGCUGGUCAACUCAUCUCAGUUACACUCGCAUGAAGCAGGAUGUGAGCAAACAGAUGUGGGGAGCUGCCAGUUUCUACCAAAGAAAAGGUGCUAGCUUUUAAUUUCAGUUGACUAUUAGAACGUACAGUAGAGAUCUGCCUUCUUUCCCUGUUUGACUUACAGUAUGAGGCAAAGAAACCCUCGAAGUGUCCAGGGUUCCAAGUGCUCAUCUUAGAGCAGAAUGAUUAUGCAAAAAUGGUAAACCUCAGUGUCUCUAGGUAAUAAAUUUCACUUUCAAAGAAGGAAGCUUAAGAACAGGCUGGAAAGUGAAUGUGCCUCACACAAUGGAGCAGCGUGCCAGCUUUGUUUGAAUUGAGCAACCUGGAAGAAUCUGAGCUGGGAACAAGUAGCAUCUGAUUUAAGGACUGAGAGAGUAGAUGGCUGAUUUUCUUCGCAAAAAUAGCAUGAGAAAGCUGUACUGACCUUUCCAGGAUGAGAGGUAAUGGCUUAAAUUGCCCCAAGGGAGGUUCAGGUCAGAUAUCAGGAAGAAUUUCUUCUCAGAGCAAUGAGGCAUUGGCACAGGCUGCCCAGGGAAGUGAUGGAGUCACUGUCCCUGGAGGUGUUCAGGAGAAGCAUAGAUGUGGCACUGAGGGACCUGGUUUAGUGGACACGGGGGGGAAUGGGUUCGUGGUUGGACUGGGUGAUCUUAGUAGUCUUCUCCAGCCUUUAUGAUUCCAUAAUUUCACUGUGCUUUUCUGGUGUCUUUUUCCAGCACUGGGCAAUGACUGUUCUUAUGUUUCUGAGAAUUUAAAGAAUGGUCUUCUGAGACUGAAAUGCACAGGACGUAGAGCGGAGGCUGUUAGUAGCUCUGGUGGGAUGGGGUAACCCUUAAAAAGUCACUGCACUUUCCUGGGCCUCCUUUUCCCCCACUGUUAAAUGGAGAUAACUACAUGUUUCCUUCAUGAAGCCAUUUGGUAUGUCUUGUUGAAAAAUCUAUAUAUAAGUGUUCAUCAUUUUUGUCACUCAGGCACUGAUAUAGGAAUUUCUGGAGCACUCCUACAUGUUGAGAAUCACACUGAUACUGUGGAUGAGAAUAUUAAAUUCUGGUGCUGAACCUGGCUAAUUUGAAAAUGACGUAUUUUUCUAGAGUGAUGCCUCAGAUGCAUCUUAUAUAAGAAAAUGAAUUACAUUUAUAGCUAGAAAGGACUGCAGGAUUUUAUGAUCAUCUCAGCACUCCUGUAUUUAGUAAAUUAUCUUGUGUUUGAUUAUGACAGGGUACCUCUUGGCUUAUGUCAAAGUUCUUGUUUCCUGGAGUUCUCCCUGUUUCCUGGAAACUAAACUCUGGUGGAAAGCAUUUGUUACUUUGGUUGUUUUUUUUUCUUUUUCUUUUUUUGGUCUGAUUUGUUUGUUUGGGUUUUUUUUUUUUUUUUUUUGUCUUUUAAGUCUAAACAACCCAUUGGUCCUACAGCUCUUUGGUUCCUGCCACUGAAAGGAGAUACCCAUAGAUUAAAUAGUUAAAUAUGAAACCCCCUUGGGGUUUGAUCUGAUGAAGAUGAUGCUUAUUUAGAGAAGGAGCAAAUACUUUAACAAGUACUAUCCUGAUGAACUAUCUAACUUGACUUCUGAGAAGUAACUAUUAAAUGGAGAGAAGAAACCAUGAAAUGUAAGAGCGAGUUUGAAUGCUGGUAUCAUAAUCUGAUCGUAGUCAUGCAUCAUAAUUAAAUGUUAAUUUAAUUGUGGGCUUCGGAUGUCAUGUUUGGAAUUCUCAGUUUCAAUCCAGUUUUUAUUAAACAAUGAAGAACCUUCUGAAGGAUUCAGAAUAACAGUUCAACAAAUCAAGUCAACAAACAGGGAUCCACUUUAAGGUAAGAAAGAGAAAAUAGUGGGCAAAAGCUGAUAGAGUGCACUGGAUGCAGGCAGAAUAGUCAGAGGAAAACCAAUAGGGCAUGAUUUGGAGAGACAGUAUCUUUCACACAACCAAUAGCAUUUGGAGAAAAUGAACAAGCUUUCAAGCACUUAAAUGCUUCCGCAGGUCUGGCAAAGAAAACAAAAAACUUGAAGCUUUGUCCGUCCUGUAAAGAAAUUAGCGUUUAACUUAAGAUAAUCACCUGGACAAUUAGGGAGACAAAAAGGUGAACUCCUUAGCCAUAACGGAGCAUCUGGGGAUACAAACAAAAAGUCAAGAGUUAAUGUGCCCCUGCAAGCCAGAGAGAGAGGGAGUGGGAGCUUAGAAAGAGCUCUUGGGAAAGGUGGGUACCACCAAACCGUUGCCUCUGCUGGCUCCACGGGUUUUAGUGCCUGGGAGAACUCUGAAUUUAAUGUCCCAAAUAUUUGAGUAGUGUCCUCUGGGGCAACUGGUACAUUAGGACUCAGAAAAUUAAUUGCCAGACUUGCACCUAAUUGUACAACAAAGCAGUAAACCAAUUCUGGAAAACCACAGUGAGGACUAAUUCAGAAGUGUCUUAACACAGAAUACGAAGAACGUUCUUUCCUCCUCUCAGCUCCAGAUUUCUACCCCAAAUGUUAAAGAAGAAACCUUAAACUUGUCUGAAUUACAAGCAAAACUGUCAGCCUCCCUCAAAAUGGGGAAAGAAAGUACUUCUGAAAUGCUUAUGCAUUAUAUAACAUGUACCCAUAUAUCAUUUAUACGGACAUUAGCAACUUGUGUUAUUUCCUCAUUUUGGAGGUGAUGCAUUAAAAGUGAAAAUGCCACUACUGCCAUUUUCUUCUUACAUAAAGCAGCUUUGUGUCUACAGUGCCUGUGUGCAGAUCUUCUCCAUGAUUUUCAAAAAGCUGAUUGAAGGCCAUUGCAGUAGCUUGGGUAGGGUGGCCAAACAGAUGAAGAUGGCAUAUAAAGAGCCUGGUUGGCAGCAAUGCCAAUUUCAUGCACAUGCCCUGCCUUGAUUAAAGUAGAGAUGUUUGCAUAUGUCUUGUGUCCAAAGGCAUUUUUGAUGCACAUCUCCUGCUGAGCCAGCAAAGCUCCUCUCACGCCUAUUGCUUUUGCAUAGCAGAUACACAUUAAUGGAAGCAGUCAGAGCAUGCAUCUACCUGGUUCAUAAUUUGCACAUCUCUGGAAAUAUCCUUAAAAUGCAGACGAAGUUUAAAAAGAAAUAGUAGAGAGUUGCAAAAAAUCCAGAUUAACAGUUGAAAGUUGAAAUAGUUUAUCCUCUUACACAGGGGUAUUAAUUACAAAGCGUAUCUUCAGUCUCAUUUGCAGAGUUUCCCUUUCGCUAUCUGGAACCUGAAGCAGUAGAUUAAUGAGAGAGGCUGGGAAGGUGCCACCUUGUAAGGAGCUGCAUGGAAACGAACCACUUAAAAGGCACAAACAAGUUUUAUUGCAACUGUCAAACCUAGGAACCAUGUAAUGUCCUACUAUAGAAUAUACUGUAACUAAUGAACUAUUUACACACAUUUAUUGUGCUGUUGUGUUUUGUUUUCAGAUGUCCAUAUGUAAGAAAACAUUUUGAAUUUUCUGCUAAAGAUAUCCAAAUUAACAUCUAAAGGAGUUUUUCCCCCCUUUUUAUAUUGUCUCUGGGUUAUAUGGGUGCUGCGAGGCUGCUCAGCCCAUUCUGUAGAGAUUCCUGCAUAAAUGUUAUUAAUAGAGUGCAGGAGAGGAUGAUAGAUAUGAGUCUUACAGAAAUGAAGCUAAUACUGAGACUCACUGUUUUCAUUUCCUUGUGCUUUUGCAUUUCAAUUUCAUAGCACUGAAACUCUUGGUGGGCAUAGUGUAGAUGGAUGGGUUGAUGGUGGAACUGGAAGAUCUUGGUGGUCUUUUCCAACCUUUAUGAUUAUUUGACUCUGUGACUUCAGAGAGGACAAAACACCACUCCUAUUCACAAUGAAGGAGCCACCUCCGAUAGCAAGGCUUUGCCACCACCGCGGGACACCGAGUGCCGUGAGCGGUGCUGAACUGAGCAAUGAGGAGGAGAUGGCUGCACACAUAGCAUGGAAGCUUUGACUUUAUGGUGUCUCCAACUCAGAAAAGCCUGCUUGUGGACCCAAAGCCCAGAGGAGAUACUUGCUAUAACUGCCUAUAAAAGGAGAAUGUGGAUUGAUGCAAACUCCACUGACAUGGAUGGGAUUCUUUCUUUGUGAUUCAGUGAGCUUUGGAUCAGUUCUGGAGAAGGAAAUUGAACAGUUAUCAAGCAAAUCUAGUCUUACAUAAACAAAAAUGCCUCCUACAAAAUCCAGAGGGCAUGCUGUCAUCCAGCACAAGUCUCACCUAUCAAAAAGGAAAAACGUACUGAACUGAGGGAUCCAGCAUGGAACGAGAUGACAGGUGAGGCACAGCAACACAAAUAGGCAGCAGUGAAUUGGACAAAUCUGCCACCUGCAAGCAGAGAGCAUGAGCUCAGCUAGUGCAAGAAUCUGGUGGCUCUGUGCUGCCCUGCUGGAAGGUCUCCUGACGCCUCCGGACUCCUGCUUCCCUGUAACCACUCCAGUCUCUUCCUGUCACAAUGAAAUCAUUCCUGCUGCAGUGAAGGGAUUAAUUAGGUCUACCAGUACUUCACUACCCUCAAUCCUAACUGAAAAUCAGACAGCUUUUCCUGUUUCGCACGUCUGUGCUCAGAGAUGUGACUGACCUAACGCUUGGCACCUUAGAAAAAUCAUGCCCCAGUGUGGAUCAAGACUCAGGAAACAAAUCCUCUCCAUAACUGCGCAGAGCAGGGCAUAAGCUAAUGCCAGAAUGAUGUGAUGCUUGACGCUUUGACCUUGCUUUCUGUGCAAGACUCUCCAAGCUUCAUACCACUGGGAGCGCAUCAUUUGUGACGAGCAAAAAAGUCAGAGCAACUGGUUCUUAAAAGAUUUGUCAUAGUUUUGCUUUAAAAAUAAUUCAUCUCAUAGCUGAAUUCAGUAUUUUGGGUCAGUUAUAAUUGAAUCUGCUCAGACAGAGAAGUUAUAUGAGACUAAUUACCUACUGUCUCUACUCGAAGUAAAUAUUAAAGGCAAGAAAAAUAAACAUGGGCUGAAGUGUGAUAUGCAAAUCACAUUGAUAACUAUCAGGUUAAGACCAUGAAUUUAUAUUCUUUUAAUCAUUAUGAGGUUUAGAUGGUAUCUCCAGCAAAGAAAAGUCAGUAUGAUGGUAUAUGACUGUCUAUGAUUUGGUCCCUAAUUGCAAACAACAAAAAUACAUUAACCUGCUUGUAUCCUGUGUCUCAUUAUUGUCAUAAAAAUGAUAAGAAAAUUCCUUCUUUGUGAAAUCCAAGCUGCUUUACUCUUUUCAAGGACUGCUUUUGUAAGAAAGGAGAGUAAGGCUUAGGUCACUUAUACUGAAUAUAAGGUAGAGGGAGAUGUUUCAGAAGCAGAGCACUUUAAACAUCUUUAUUCCUACCAAAGUUAAUAAAGUGAAGCCAAUUCUGAGCACUUCUUCAAGCUGCAAUGGAUUUGCUAUUAGUUUUCCUGCAUGAAAAUAUGAUGAAGAACAUAAUUGGAGAAAAGAUAGUUCGAGAAAUAACUUCACAAUGGCAUUACUCUCAAAGAAAAGACAAAAUCAAAAUAUCCUGGGUCUGGUUAAGGCAGGCAAGGACUUAAAAUGAGACUGGGCAUGAAAGGGAUGGAGAAAAGAAUGGGGUGUAAGUUAUGACAUUUUCACCUUUUCAUAUGCAAAUUCUUGAUGAAAAAUCCUUAGAAAAAGAAGCUAGAGUAACUUUCAAAGAUCAGAACUACCUUCUUUUCCUUUUCUCCUUUUUCCUUUUCCUUCCUUUUUUUAACUUUUUUUUUUUUUUUUAAACUUUUCUUCUCUGUUCCUGCAGGGAAGUGUUUAUAGGGACACAUGAGAUCCUGACAGACAUUUCCACUGACCCUCUUACAUGAGAUUUGGCUCAACCGCUCUCCUCUAAGACGGUCUGUGAUUUUGGCAGCCCGAGGCCCAGGGUCCCUUCCAGGGCUGCUGGGCCUGCAGCCACCAUACUGACAUUGGCCCCUUGUAACUGGGAACAGUUAGUGGGAGCUCCUAAAAAUACACAGAAGCAAACAAGGAGCUAAUGCUGCUGCUUUGUGCUCAGAGAAGAUGCAUUAUUCAUACAGUACAUAGACAAAAUAGAGAGAAGAUGCCUGGCAAAGCCCCCAGAAUGGCUUAGUUACCCUCGAGUAAAAACUUCUAUUUGUUGAGUAGACUCCAUAAAUAUAGCAGGACUCCUGAAAUGUCCAGAUGUUUCUGAGCAGAUGAAGAAUGUUCUCUUUCUGAAAGCUUACUGAAUUUUUUAUUAUCUCAUGCACUGUUUGCGUGGGCAGGUCUUCUGAGUGAGUCAGAGCAAACAGCAAUCACUGCUGCAGGUAUCCAGCGAGAGAGGACAAUUCCUUAACCUGGGAGCUCCUAAAGAGGUCCUAACGUGCAGAGUGCUGAUACAUACACAGAAAAUAAUCACUGAAUCAAUGAGCUAAACUUCUCUGAGGGACCUUAACGUAGCCGUGCUGUAAAGAAAGGAUUACUUAGCAUUGAUAGCCAUGCCCUCAGAUAUAGCCGUGGUGGUGUGCUCUCAGGCACACAGACCUCGCUCUUCCAUGGGAGACACAAUGCCAUAGGAAGAUUCUGGAGUUAAGGCAGAUAUUGAGUUAGCCCUCUCUAUUGAAUUGGAGUUUUUGCAGAUGGGAAAUAGUUUCUUCUCCAUGGUAAUUCUUUAGUAAUGCCGCUCCACUUGGACCAAUUUAAACUGGAAGAAAAAGGUCUGCCUGUGAUAUCUCUGCCUCAGUAGGACAGCAUGACCAGAUUUAUAUCUUUACCUUGCAUUUUUGUCCGGAGGGCUUACGCUUUCAUCUGAUUAUGCUCUCUCUUGUGAGAUUCUCUCUAUGCUUAAAAUAGAAAAUACCACUAACCCCAGGACUGCUGAUAGGGCCGGAGUGCCUCCAAACAGCAGUCUUCUGCGUUCACUCUCCCUUACACCAACCCUGCAUCUUCUCUAUUUCUGCUACUACCACCAACUUAGUGCCAGCCAUAUGUAUUUAAGGGGUUGAGCUGGCUUCCUUGACUUGAUAAUCAAUGUGUGAUUAUUUUGUGGUUUUCCAUGUGGAUUUUAGUUUCUCCAGUUCCUGCUUCUAUUGCACACUAAAGAUUUCAUUUACUCGAAUGCUGCUUUUGUAUGCUUUCUUUAUGGAGCAUAAAAGAACCUAGAAUGAUUUUUGAGUGUGUCUAUACGCUUGUUAUAUGUAUUUGUUCAUGCUUUUCUGAAGCUACACACACCUGCACGUAUAUAUGUAUUUACAUUCCUGUAACUGUGUGUAACCAAAAUGAGAUGAUGAGCUGAUGAAGACCACCAGCAAAUAAUAUAAAAUAAUAUAGUAGUGCAACCUUAAUGCAGUGUUCAGAGUUGCACCUUGACUCCAGCCAGGACUGAUCAGACUCUGCUUAGUUCUGAAACAUCAGUCACUGUGUAUGACAGCCUCCCUCACCCCUUCUCUCCCUUUGCUCUUGUAAUGCAUCCUUGCAUGUAAGCCAGCUUGAGCAGCUGGAAGCUUGACUGCAACCUAACCCCAUUUUGAAUCAUGCCCAAGAUGCAACAGCCAGAUUUCUUACUGCACUAUUUUAAAGCAUAGAUGCAAGAGGCAUCGGCAUCUAUGUUUUGUGGCCCAGCAAAUGUCAUGGCAAGGCAAGUGGGAUGGAUGGCUCCUCCCCAGGUGCAGGGUUGCAAAUCCAGUUCACCCCUUCCCUACCCCUCAAGCCAUGUGGCAGGCUGUCUGGAAGCAUAGCAUUGUUCAUCACAUUAAUGUUCAGCUGUCGUGGAUGUGAAGAGGAAGUCAAGGGCUCACAGAACAGAAGAGAUGGACAGAGCAGACCUUUGAGGAGGAACAGCUUUGCAGCUUAGCAGUCAGCACACGACCUGGGGAAAGCCAACAAGGAGCUGGGAGCACUUCUUAGACACACAACAUUAAAAAGCUGUUACGUAAAACCCAGAAACCAUGCAGGGUCAAGAGGCAGGACCUGAAGUUUCUCUUGCCAGCCCUGUGCUCACCUUCAUCUUCCCUGCAUCAUCACUGAUAGCUCUCCUGUCUCUGUGCAGUAAGGUGCCCUUGCCAGGAUAUCUGUCAUUUUCAUCAGUUCCCAUCGCUCAGCUCUUCAAAACUUCCUACUAGUGUCAUUUAGGCUCUCUCCUUCUCAUUGGCUCCUUCUAGCUGCUAACAUAUACCAGCAAUUUUCACAGUCGCCUGCUUUCCAUCUGUUACAGUUUCACUGAUGUUUUUUUGUCUGACUUCCUCUAUGAUCUCAGCUUGCUUUUGUUGAAGUUAUACACUUUUCCAUCCUUGCUGUGAGUUUUUGGAUUUUUAGGCAUCAAAUAAAAAAUCUCUAAACAGUUCUUAACCACAUUUCACCCUAUUUCAGUUACAUCUCACAGAUGAUUCAAUUCAUAACAGCUUUCGGUUUGGUGACUUCAGAGGUACACAGAUAAUUGAUUGGGAUUUUUUCCUCAUGGUAUAUAAUGAAUGUAAUCCAGUCACGCUCUCUUGCACCUUAAGUAUUUCCUAACUUCCAGGCACGUGGUCAGUCCUUAAGCAGUAGUGCUCCCAGCUCUGCCAGCAACACUUUAAAAUGCCCUUUAUAAUUUCAAACAGUUCUGAUGCUGGAGUAUCCCAGCACAAGCCCUCCUGCACCUGCCAGACCCUUGCCAGCCCACCUGAAAGCUCCCCUCCCAGAGCAACAGGAAAGGAGCUCCAUUUCCACUUGGUUGUGCAGUUUCCCUGUCCUCAGCCAAGGGGAUCCUUCACCAUGUGUGCUGACCCUCUGGGCUGUGAACCUGCUUCAGUGUUGUCUCCCUCUAAGUGGGCCACGGAACUUUGAUUCUAGCAUUUGCUGCCCUCUUGUUUUUACGCUUUCCAAAUCAUCGUUACUGCUUUGCACAUACAAGUUAUAUGAAGCUUUUGGGUUUCAGUGGCAGAAAGGCCAAGUAUAUGUUCAUAACCGAACAGUUCCAGUUCUUUGGCAAUUUAGAACACCUCUUUCAGUCCCUUGGUGUCCUGACCUCACAUGGAGCUGAUUCAAAUUUUUAAUUCAUCCCGUGGCUAAAAGCUUCUUGUCCUCAGUGGCAGAAUGGUUAGAAGGCAUUUCAAGAUUGCCUGAAGACAACCGCAUUCAGGACUACUCUUUGGCAGGGAACAUCUCAAGUCAUGCAUCCCUCACGGCCCUGUCUCCAGAGUUCACGCUUGGUAUGCCUACACUUGAGAGAGGAGCUGCAGGCCCUCAGGGUUUUCUUUCAUCACUAAGGACAAAGGCAAGAGAUGCCAAGCAGCAUCAGAAGAGCCAAUCACAGUGCUAUGAACAAAAGGUCCCCUAAUGCCUUGGAUAAGACCAGCAAUUUCACAGUCUGCAGAAGGGAACGACUGAGGAAAUUCUGUGGAAUUCAGUAGAAAUCCUGAACAUUUUUCAUUACGAUAAUAAAAGAAACGAAGCGUUAAGUGGGAAGGAAAGGUGCUGAAGGCUACAAGAAAAGCAUUGCCUGCUUUACCAGUAACAGUGGUUCUGAGCAGUAGGCCUAGGUGCCUAGAGAAAAAGGAGCGUGGGCUUCGCUGAGAGGCCUACAAUGGCACCGAGGAGCCUUCAGAGAUGAAUGGCAGCUGAUUUCCCACAGAUCGAUGAUUUCCUGAGACAGAUUUCAUUCUGAAGCAGCGAACACAAAAUUUACAUAGCCAGAGUAUUUUUUACUGAAGUGAAAAUUGAAACAGCUAAACUGUGUUUAUGCAUGUGUAUGCAUAUGUAUCAACUUUCCUUCCUCACUUGACAUGAUUGCAAAAGAAAUUUCCAUCCUGACUUUUCACACCCACAUGGGUACAGGAAGAAGAAAUUUAAAGGUUGCUUGAAUUUAUGUAUCCACUGUGAAAUUCCUGAGUACUGAAAAGUACAUGUUGGUGAGGAGAUAUGAGUGCUGUGUAAUUUACUGUGUGAGUGCUUCCAAGUGAAAUGUUACUGUACAUCACAUCGCACUUCUUACUGAGUGGGAGUUCACCUUGCUUAUCUUUGGCCAAAGUUUUGCAGUGACAUUCGCUGUGCAAAACCUACCCUUUACCUUAGCUAAGUGGUGCUAUAGAAGCAAUAGUUAGCAGCUGGAAACACCUAAACAGCAUGGAGCAAUUUCCUGUGUUUAACAGACAAGAAUGUAAUUUUACCUAUAUAGUUAUUUGUUUCAAUUUUAAGUUAUUCAUUGGAAUCAAAUCAUGAGAAUAGAGUACUUCCAGUAAUUUCCUCAAUUAGGAAAUGAAACGUGAAAUUCUUAAAACCAGUUUUACAAUAAGUAGUGGAGGAGAUGCUCAAAAAACCUCUGACUGAGACUUAUUCAAUGCCAGAGAUACUCAGAAUGGGCUUUAAACCAUAAAAUUCACACGUUAACUUGAAUUUCAUUUCUGACUGGUUGGCAUGACUGGCUUAUCACCAUGUCUGUGUGUUUGCAUGUCUAAGUGUAAAUAAGUGCAUUUUCCUUGCCUUAUAAAGACAAUGUCAUAGAUUUGACUUUUCUGCCUUGGGCAGCAAGCCCCACAGAUGAUUAUAUGGGGAUAAAACAUAUGUCAAAGAAAAUGUUUCUUAGCUCUCUUGAAUGCAGUGCCAAUUAUGUCAGGCUAGCUCUUACUGCUUUAAAUUAAAACCAUACUUCAUCUCAGAAUUAAUUUAAUUUUCUGGAAUAAAUGCGCUUAAAAAAUCCAACUUGGAUUCUCCAAAGGAUAAGGGUCAGCUAUUCAGGGCAUCUGAAGAAUAGCAUAAGAGUCAUAUUCAGGCAGCCUAAAUUCAACCCGAAUCACUGUGCUCAGGAUUUCUUAUCAACCUGCUGUAAGUCUGUAGAGCACAGGGACUAUUCGACUCCUGGACCGAGAUGGAAUUUAAAUCCUGGAUAUUCAGCAAACCAUUUCCUAAUUCUUUAUGUUACUGAAGGAAGUGACCCUAGCAAGACUUGAUAGGCAUUAAAGGGUGGCCUAUUUAAACAAAGGGCAGCCCUCAGUUGUCAGUGAUUUUCACUAGUCUUAAAAGAGGAAAACAAUCCUUAUAUCUAUUGAAAAUCUACUUCUGGAUCUGCCCCCUAAAACAGUAUUAUCAGAAAGAUGUAUUUCCCUUGCUUUUGUAAUGCAAAGGAAUCAUAGACAUCUUUGCUUUAAGAGGCAAGAAAGGUAACUAAUUCUAUACUGUCAAAAAUUUUAUCUUUUGAAAAGUAGGGUGAUGAAUCAUAGCCAAAAAAAAGCCCCGUGGCCCCGGCUCCAAAAACCAAACAAUCCAGCAAAAAUAAAGAACAAACCAAAUCCUAUUGGUUUGUCAUCCAUCUGUGUUUCAAACAAUCAGAAACAACAGCAUCACGUAUCUUCUGGUCUAUACCUCCCUGGCCAUUCUAAUUAAUACUGGCUCAAGGCAGUAUUUAUUUCUUAGCUCGUGAGAUAAUAGGUUAUUGACUGACCUGUGAGGUAAUAGCCAAUUCUGUGUCUCACGUAGGAAGUGAUUGUGUGGAUUGAAGUUUGCCAUUGAUUUUGCUUCCAUACACUCAGGGGGACCAUCUAUAUAACUGUCACAUAAAUAAGAAGAAAAGGCCCUUAGUGACAUUUACUGACUUCUGAAGAUUCCUCACCUGCAUCCACUUGACAUUACUGUGGCCAGACCAAAAACCCACUGAACUCACCACUAACUUCAGUGCAGUUCACCAGACCUUCCUUAUAUGAAGCAGGGAAAUAGGAAGAGCUGACAACCUGAAGUCAUGGACUGGUGCAACAAUAAUGUAGAUUCUACAUCUUCUUCAUCCUGUGCUAUUUGCCAUCUCCUAACUGCACGGAUUCUGAGGACCCAUGAGAAGCAUGAAAUAUCUGUAGUGGUAUCUUAAAGGACUGAAAAAAAGCAGAGAGAGAUUAAAAUCAGAUACCAGUGGAGCUUUAAGUGCAAUGAAUUGAAAGGAAAUAAGGAAAGGUGAGCAUACGAUCACAAACACAGAACUUGGUACAAUUUAGGAGCUCCAUUCUACUGAAAGCUUCAGGAGUAGACAAACUGGUGUCACUGCAGAAUAUUUGGUAAAAAAGUACUUGUUUCAUCUGUAUCGUUUUGGUUAUUCAAAAUCAUAAACAGUGCCUUGGAGAGCAGAACGAGGAUAAAUAGAAAAGUUUCAGCUUUUCUGAAACACGUAUUUCUGUAAUGUGCUUCAGAAAGAAGGAGGUUUCAGUGAGUCAGUGUGCUGCUGCAAGAGUUGGAGUUCCUCUGGUAAAUUUUUGUCACGGUGGUAAUUGCAGAAAUAAGCAGUUCCUCCACCACUCACCCAUUUAUACCUCUCUCAAUAUUAAAUUAACUAACUCCCUUUUGGGAGCCAUUUGGAGAAUGAUCAGCAAAAACCAAACGCAGAAAAUUACUGAAAUCUCUGUUGCAUUCUUCUGUUGGUAUUACUGGGAAAUAUCAUCCGUUUCUUCUGGCCAGUGAUUUUCCCAGAUGCACAGAUCAUUUGCUGGCUGCCCUGCUUAGACCCAUGUCCUGUCUAAAGCCAAAGCUUACAAAGGCUCUUUGAAAAGUCUUUUUGAGACGGUGUGCUGGCUAAUUAAACAUUUAUUAAACAUCAUAGUAGCUUGAGAAUUAAUUUCACCUUCCUGUUUCUCAAGCCUCAGCUCUUUUCUAAGCUUUGACUGUACCCCUGACUUCAGCUGCUUGCCUGGCUUGGUUAGGAUUUCCCAGUUUGCUUGUACACCUGUGUGUCAUUUGCAGGGAAGAUGCUGCUCAUUAAGAUACACGAUGGGGAUCUUAAAAGGCAUUCAUUUAUUUGACAAAAAGGCAUAUUGGAACAGUACUACUAGGUGGCACGUGCACCUUGUUUUUAUUAAGUCACGUAGUAGGGAAAAAAUUAAUAUAAAAUCCAAGGAGAACAUUGAAAGCUAAUUUGCCUUAAGGUACAGAAGCUUCUGAAAAACUGCUAUUUUUUAUUCAAAUAUUACAGGGACAUAGCAUUUUUAUUCUCUCAUUUAUGUCAUUUAGGAUAGCUAAUGAUAUAUUAUUACACGACCCAAAGCCAGCGUUGCGUUCUCUUCCUUGUAUCUGGUACUGCUUUUCCAACUACUUUGUUCCACCCAAACCAUUUCAGAUACAGUCUCAAUUACAGAAAAUAAUAGGAUUCCUGAGGAGGUGUAAAUGCAUACCGUGGCAUGGCUGUCCUGCACUGAAAUAGCUGAAGAGCCUUUCUGCAUUUCCACAACAUGGGCUGAGGGUGCUCACGUGCCUUCCAUAGAACAAUCUUCAAGGAUUUUGUGCGACAUCAACGUGCUAAAUACUAUCUGCCUGAACUGGGGAGGAUGUCUCACAGUUUAAUUGAGCACAUUCAUUACAAUUGCCAAGGAAGGACCAAUAUCUGCUUUCUUUUCCUGUGAAUUCAAUACAGACCCAACAGCAACUGUAAGAUCAAAUCCCAAGGCCAGGUAUGGGGCAUUUGUUAUAUGAUAUUGAAUUUUUCAGCCAAGGCUUGAGCAGGUCAUGCUAAUUAAUGAAGAAUUUUCAGAUGGAUGCCCAUGAUUUCAAUGAAGCCAAUGCUUUUGGGAAAAAAUAGUCUGCAACGUCAAAAGAAAUUGGUUCUAUUUUGUCAGAAUAAAUAAUUUAAAUGAAGUACACAGUAUUUGUAACUUGACUGGUAUCCUGUCUAUU